rnacentral:rRNA from 1 species
GCAGUGAGGAAUCUUGCACAAUGGGCGAAAGCCUGAUGCAGCGACGCCGCGUGGAGGAUGACGGUCUUCGGAUUGUAAACUCCUGUUAAACGGGAAGAAAGACUUGUUUCUAAUACAGACAAGUUAUGACGGUACCGUUAGAGAAAGCACCGGCUAACUCCGUGCCAGCAGCCGCGGUAAUACGAGGGGUGCAAGCGUUAUUCGGAUUGAUUGGGUGUAAAGGGUGUGCAGACGGCUUACUAAGUCACUUGUUAAAUUCCUCGGCCUAACGAGGAUCUGCAGGUGAUACUGGAAAGCUAGAGGAUGGAAGAGAGAAGUGGAAUUCUCGGAGUAGCGGUAAAAUUCGUAGAUCUUGAGAGGAACACCAACGGCGAAGGCAGCACCUUGGUCCACUCCUGACGUUCAUACACGAAAGCGUGGGGAGCAAACAGGAUUAGAUACCCCGGUAGUCC